CAGCCGCCACGGGAAUACGGAGGGUGCAAGCGUUAAUCGGAAUUACUGGGCGUAAAGCGCACGCAGGCGGUUUGUUAAGUCAGAUGUGAAAUCCCCGAGCUUAACUUGGGAACUGCAUUUGAAACUGGCGAGCUAGAGUCUUGUAGAGGGGGGUAGAAUUCCAGGUGUAGCGGUGAAAUGCGUAGAGAUCUGGAGGAAUACCGGUGGCGAAGGCGGCCCCCUGGACAAAGACUGACGCUCAGGUGCGAAAGCGUGGGGAGCAAACAGGAUUAGAUACCCCUGUAGUCCCUGUCUCUUAUAA
rnacentral:rRNA from 1 species